AGAAGAAGCACCGGCUAACUCCGUGCCAGCAGCCGCGGUAAUACGGAGGGUGCGAGCGUUAAUCGGAAUUACUGGGCGUAAAGCGCAUGCAGGCGGCCUGUUAAGUCAGAUGUGAAAGCCCGGGGCUUAACCUCGGAAUUGCAUUUGAAACUGGCAGGCUAGAGUCUUGUAGAGGGGGUAGAAUUUCAGGUGUAGCGGUGAAAUGCGUAGAGAUCUGAAGGAAUACCAGUGGCGAAGGCGGCCCCCUGGACAAAGACUGACGCUCAGAUGCGAAAGCGGUGGGGAGCAAACAGGAUUAGAUACCCUGGUAG
rnacentral:rRNA from 1 species